AGCUCCAAUAGCGUAUAUUAAAGUUGUUGCAGUUAAAAAGCUCGUAGUUGGAUUUCGGGAGGGAUCGGUCGGUCCGCCGCAAGGUGUGUUACUGGUCGGUCCGUCCUUCCUGGCGCAGACUUGGUGUGCUCUUAACUGAGUGUGCCGAGGAUUCGCCACGUUUACUUUGAAAAAAUUAGAGUGUUCAAAGCAGGCUCUGUGGCUUGAAUACAUAAGCAUGGAAUAAUGGAAUAGGACUCUGGUUCUAUUUUGUUGGUUUCUGGAUCCGGAGUAAUGAUUAAGAGGGACAGUUGGGGGCAUUCGUAUUUCGUUGUCAGAGGUGAAAUUCUUGGAUUUACGAAAGACGAACUACUGCGAAAGCAUUUGCCAAGAAUGUUUUCAUUAAUCAAGAACGAAAGUA
rnacentral:rRNA from 1 species